CCUACGGGGCGCAGCAGUGAGGAAUAUUGGUCAAUGGACGAGAGUCUGAACCAGCCAAGUAGCGUGAAGGAUGACUGCCCUCUGGGUUGUAACCUUCUUUUAUAUGGGAAUAAAAUGUUCCACGUGUGGGAUUUUGUAUGUACCAUAUGAAUAAGGAUCGGCUAACUCCGUGCCAGCAGCCGCGGUAAUACGGAGGAUCCGAGCGUUAUCCGGAUUUAUUGGGUUUAAUGGGAGCGUAGGUGGAUUGUUAAGUCAGUUGUGAAAGUUUGCGGCUCAACCGUAAAAUUGCAGUUGAAACUGGCAGUCGUGAGUACAGUAGAGGUGGGCGGAAUUCGUGGUGUAGCGGUGAAAUGCUUAGAUAUCACGAAGAACUCCGAUGGCGAAGGCAGUUCACUGGACUGCAACUGACACUGAGGCUCGAAAGUGUGGGGAUCAAACAGGAUUAGAUACCCUUGUAGUC
rnacentral:rRNA from 1 species